CCUACGGGUGGCAGCAGUGAGGAAUAUUGGUCAAUGGACGAGAGUCUGAACCAGCCAAGUAGCGUGAAGGAUGACUGCCCUAUGGGUUGUAAACUUCUUUUAUAAAGGAAUAAAACGAGGCACGUGUGCCUUUUUGCAUGUACUUUAUGAAUAAGGAUCGGCUAACUCCGUGCCAGCAGCCGCGGUAAUACGGAGGAUCCGAGGGUUAUCCGGAUUUAUUGGGUUUAAAGGGAGCGUAGAUGGGUUGUUAAGUAAGUUGUGAAAGUUUGCGGAUCAACCGUAAAAUUGCAAUUGAUACUGGCAGUCUUGAGUACAGUUGAGGUAGGCGGAAUUCGUGGUGUAGCGGUGAAAUGCUUAGAUAUCACGAAGAACCCCGAUUGCGAAGGCAGCAUACCGGCGCCCUACUGACGCUGAGGCACGAAAGUGCGGGUAUCGAACAGGAUUAGAUACCCUAGUAGUC
rnacentral:rRNA from 1 species